AUUGAACGCUGGCGGCAUACCUUACACAUGCAAGUCGAACGGUAACAGGUCUUCGGAUGCUGACGAGUGGCGAACGGGUGAGUAAUACAUCGGAACGUGCCUAGUAGUGGGGGAUAACUACUCGAAAGAGUGGCUAAUACCGCAUGAGAUCUACGGAUGAAAGCAGGGGAUCGCAAGACCUUGUGCUACUAGAGCGGCCGAUGGCAGAUUAGGUAGUUGGUGGGAUAAAAGCUUACCAAGCCGACGAUCUGUAGCUGGUCUGAGAGGACGAUCAGCCACACUGGGACUGAGACACAGCCCAGACUCCUACGGGAGGCAGCAGUGGGGAAUUUUGGACAAUGGGCGAAAGCCUGAUCCAGCAAUGCCGCGUGCAGGAUGAGGGCCUUCGGGUUGUAAACUGCUUUUGUACGGAACGAAAAGCCCCGGGUUAAUACCCUGGGGUCAUGACGGUACCGUAAGAAUAAGCACCGGCUAACUACGUGCCAGCAGCCGCGGUAA
rnacentral:rRNA from 1 species